GGAAGUUAAGAAACUGUUUCUUAAAUUUUAACUAAAAAACCUAAAAACCGGUUCUUAAAUAAGGAUUUUAAGAACCGGUUCUUAACUUUUUUAGUUAAAAAUUAAAAAACGGUUUCUUAACUUAC
rfam:Brassica oleracea var. oleracea cultivar TO1000 chromosome C2, whole genome shotgun sequence